CCCUAGCCCUGAUGGCAGCGGUAUCCUUUUUCUGGCUUCUUUAGCCAGGAAAAGAUAUAGCGGACAGCAGGAUUAGCU
rnacentral:sRNA from 1 species